AACGAACGCUGGCGGCAGGCCUAACACAUGCAAGUCGAGCGGACAUCUUCGGAUGUUAGCGGCGGACGGGUGAGUAACGCGUGGGAACGUGCCCUUUGCUUCGGAAUAGCCUCGGGAAACUGGGAGUAAUACCGGAUGUACCCUUUGGGGGAAAGAUUUAUCGGCAAAGGAUCGGCCCGCGUUGGAUUAGGUAGUUGGUGGGGUAAUGGCCUACCAAGCCGACGAUCCAUAGCUGGUUUGAGAGGAUGAUCAGCCACACUGGGACUGAGACACGGCCCAGACUCCUACGGGAGGCAGCAGUGGGGAAUCUUAGACAAUGGGGGAAACCCUGAUAUAGCCAUGCCGCGUGAGCGAUGAAGGCCUUAGGGUUGUAAAGCUCUUUCACCGGGGAAGAUAAUGACGGUACCCGGAGAAGAAGCCCCGGCUAACUCCGUG
rnacentral:rRNA from 1 species